rnacentral:rRNA from 1 species
AGCUUGCUUGGUGGAUCAGUGGCGAACGGGUGAGUAACACGUGAGCAACCUGCCCUGAACUCUGGGAUAAGCGCUGGAAACGGUGUCUAAUACUGGAUAUGAGCUGCGGAGGCAUCUUCGUGGUUGGAAAGAUUUUUCGGUUUGGGAUGGGCUCGCGGCCUAUCAGCUUGUUGGUGAGGUAAUGGCUCACCAAGGCGUCGACGGGUAGCCGGCCUGAGAGGGUGACCGGCCACACUGGGACUGAGACACGGCCCAGACUCCUACGGGAGGCAGCAGUGGGGAAUAUUGCACAAUGGGCGGAAGCCUGAUGCAGCAACGCCGCGUGAGGGAUGACGGCCUUCGGGUUGUAAACCUCUUUUAGCAGGGAAGAAGCGAAAGUGACGGUACCUGCAGAAAAAGCGCCGGCUAACUACGUGCCAGCAGCCGCGGUAAUACGUAGGGCGCAAGCGUUAUCCGGAAUUAUUGGGCGUAAAGAGCUCGUAGGCGGUUUGUCGCGUCUGCUGUGAAAUCUGGGGGCUCAACCCCCAGCCUGCAGUGGGUACGGGCAGACUAGAGUGCGGUAGGGGAGAUUGGAAUUCCUGGUGUAGCGGUGGAAUGCGCAGAUAUCAGGAGGAACACCGAUGGCGAAGGCAGAUCUCUGGGCCGUAACUGACGCUGAGGAGCGAAAGGGUGGGGAGCAAACAGGCUUAGAUACCCUGGUAGUCCACCCCGUAAACGUUGGGAACUAGUUGUGGGGUCCAUUCCACGGAUUCCGUGACGCAGCUAACGCAUUAAGUUCCCCGCCUGGGGGAGUACGGCCGCAAGGCUAAAACUCAAAGGAAUUGACGGGGGACCCGCACAAGCGGCGGAGCAUGCGGGAUUAAUUCGAUGCAACGCGAA